rnacentral:sRNA from 1 species
CAACAAGCAAAAAAAAGGUUGUCGAUUUCAAAACCAAAAAAAAAAGCGGAAGA